rfam:Canis lupus familiaris chromosome 10, whole genome shotgun sequence.
GCCUGGCUGGCUCAGUCAGUAGAGCAUGAGACUCUCAAUCUCAGGGUCAAGAGUUCAAGCCUCACGUUGGGCA